AUCCAAUCUCCUCCACCAUCGUGUCUGUCACCAUACCUCCUAAACCAGAGCAUUGAAGAUUCGACGUCUUUUGAUGUCAAACAAAACCUCCUACGACGAGGAAGAGUGAGAGAAGAUAUCAAGAGACGAAGGGAGAAUAAGAAUUAGAAGCAUAUCUUCUUCCACCACGCCACGAAGUUUGAAGAUGAAAUAGAAGCACGAAUCGAGAAAGAAAAUUUUAAAAUCAUCGUUUGACGUUUUUGGUUG